CCUGUAUUGAUGGAGUGAAACCCAGGUAUAGUUCUGCUUACUGCAUGCUAAACGAGGCAGCAGAGCAGAAGCUGAACGAGCAGGGGAUUGGCUCAUUGUACAAGUGUCUUCUUUGAUGCAAGCUCACAAAAGGAACAGUGUAGCAUCGACACAGUAAGCCUGAAACGGCCAGCUGCUAACAGCUUCUCUCUGCACAUUGUCUGAGAACGUUUCCUCUGGAUACAGUUUAUCCAACAAAUAAACUUCAUUGGUCCAUCUAUGGGAGACAACUACGAGGACCUGCAAUGAACAUCUUACCUUCGCCAAAACUAUGCAAGAGAACUUGUAUCUAGUUAGACUUCAUGCUUCGGAUAUAGAAAAGGAAAAUAUUGAACCUACUGAAAUCUUAUUUUAUAGAGAGAUGGAAGCAUCAUUUUGAGCUCACCGGAACGUUGACACUUUACUGAGCUUAAUUCCACUUGCUUGUUCUUUGAUAAGGGAAGGAUAAGGGUUAGAGUUUUUAGGUAAAUUGAGUAUCUGCACUUUGAAGGACUCAUUGGGAAAGAAUAAGGAAAUAAAUUAGAAGAACACAAUCCUGAAAGUUCAGUAGUAUACACAUCUUUAAGGAGUGUUUUAGGAAGCUAAGCUUCCUUUACCGAGAAAAAUGUCUGACCAAGAAAUUGAGGACUUUGAUGUGGACAAUAUGUCAGAUACCUCUCGGAUGAUCCCAGGUCUUCCACCAUAUAACAUGGAAGACCAACUCCUGCCCAUGGAGUAUCGAAGCAGAUGGGGUUGCUGGAUUUGGACCCUGUUUGUUUCUGGAGCCAACUUACUUGCUUUUCUAGUUAACUUCAUUAUCCUUGCUGUAAUUUUCGCCAUUGUCCUCACUCCAACCAUCGUAGUGGUCUACUUCGGGUUUAAAUGCCACUCCAGG